UGCGAUUUCUCUCAGAGGGUACAGAGCAAA
rnacentral:piRNA from 1 species